AAGGAAUCUGAAACACAGCAAAACCACCAAGCUGCAUCCUCCAGGUAGACACCCCCGAAAUGUGGCAUUUCCGUGGGAAACCACAAUGAAUCACUCUUUGGCUGUCCGGCCUCUCUGCCCAGUCAGAGAUUGAUUUUGGUUUUCCCAAACUUUGUAAAGCCGCCCCAGACUGUUUAACAACCUCCCCACCAUACCCGGACACUCAGAUUAAGAGCAAAAUCCCAAAUUUCGUGAGGUUUUCCGUUUCAGAUUUCAACAGAAGGGGGUCUGCCACAGCCACGAACCAUAUCCUCUGCAGAGAGCAGUUUCUGAAAUGCUGCGAAGAAAAACAAUCGCCCAACGAUUAGGAGGGAAAUGAAGUUCUAAAGAAAGACUACGUCUCUGACUUUGAAAGUAGACAUAGAUAUGCACAAUAUACAUCCCACAAAUUAAAAUCCUCCUUUCUCUGAUGUCUUUUAAUGGCAAUAAUUAAGGACAAGCAUGGCUAUCAUUUAUUUGGGAGUUUCCAAUGUGCCAGUCCCUGUCUAAACAUCGGUUUCCAGAUCAAACCUAUGAGGGUGGAAUUAACGUCCAUUUCAUAUUUAAGCAAACUGAGGCUCAGGAAAGUUGGGUUACUCAAGGUAACAUGAGUAGAAAAAAAGGCCAUAUUCCAAUGGGACACAGAGCCUGCAGCCCACAUUACUCUCCAUACUGUUCCUAUAGUAUCCUGACUGGGAAGGUCCUGUUCCCCUGGCACUGGGCAAAAUGAGGAAAUUAUAAGAGCAGAGAGGAAGGGGUGAAAGGGGGCAGCCUGGUGAAGUCACUCCUUUACUGAAAAUAGGGGUAACGGCCAGGACAGUGCAGGUCCAUCCUCUGCAGAUGGAAGACAGGCACGUCCUUUGCCGCUGUCCCGGCCUUAGAAAGGCACCUUCCGCGUCCAGGGUUUUCUGUGGAUAAAUCCCACCCCUUCCACCUCUGGCAGGGAGGAGGCCGGCCGGCCAGGGCAUGGGGCGGAAAGCGAAGGACGCCCGACCCGGGCCGAGGUCUGGGGCCCCGCUCGCGUCCCCCGCGUGGCUGCCGGCGGGCCAAGGGUUAAGCGAGGCGGGAGCCCCCGGCGCGGAGCGGCUCGGGGCUGGGAAUGCUUAGUCAGGAUUCCGAUUUCCUGUCGAAGUGUUUGGAUUUCCUGAAACCCGCGCCCUCCGCCGCCGAGCGGGAUUGUGCGAGCCGCUCGCGUCGCCGCGGCCUCCUCCCCCUCGGCACAUGGUCGCCCGCCCCUUCCUGCGCCGCGCUCGGCUCCCGCGCCUCGCCUGGCCUGGCCGCCGCCGCGGGCAAGCACUCUGCGCUGGGCAGCCCCGGGCCCGCGCCUCCCGCCCCGCCGGCGCUUCCCGGUCGCAGUUCGCUUUCCCACCCGAGAGCCGCGAGCGCCUGGCCGAGCCCGCGAUGGAAUAAUGCCCAGCGGCCCGCCAGGUCCCGGUUGUGUUGGCCUCCUUGUGCAUUGCAUUGAGAGGAUAUUCAGACUGAAGGGGAGAAGCACUGAUUUUGAAGGAUGAAAAAGGAACAAUCUACUCAGGUGACUGAGGCAGGAGGAUCGCUUGAACCUGG